rnacentral:lncRNA from 1 species
CUCUGCUUGUCUGAGAGUCUUCUGUGCAGCAAUGGCUUGGUUCUUCUGAGAGGGACUCUCAGCUUUUCUUGGUUCUAAAGUGACCUGUACUUGGAAUCUGUCAUUGAAUCUCCCUUCCAUGUGUCUGGCCGAGCUUCCCCAUGAGCUGCAGGAAUGGGCACAAUGUAAAAGGUCCCGAGAAGAAUUUCUCUCCCCCACCAUCCAUCCACCUUGAAUCCUCAUCCACUAAGUAAAACAUGUUCUGCACAUAA